AUGCAAAAACUAGUAUUAAUAAAUAUUUAUUCUUUAUUUGAAAAACAGAACAAGCAGACAGUUGAACAAAGAGAACUCCCACCUGCUCCCUCUCUCCCCAAAACCUAUAGAGCCAGGAAAUCAAUCUGGGCAGCAGGGUUCCCAUCACGAGGGCUGUUACCUGAUGCCUCCCAGAAUACACAUGAGGAGGAAGCUGGAAUUGAAAUUGGAGCCCAGGCUCAAACCCAGGAACUUCUACAUGAAAUUUCAACAACCCAAAGCCGUCGCAUCUGAAGUCUGAAUCCGAGGGUCUUGCCAGAGCGGAUGCACUUGCGGAGCAACCCUGGAGAAAACGGGAGACAUCCGGAUUCCUCAUCUGGGCGAGGAUUCCAAUCUCAGAAUCCUCCUGUCUGCGACCUGGGAAGAUCCAAUCUGUAACUCUGGGGACGAAGAGGAAGCUUUGUUGCAGAUGCAGAGUUCUCGUCCCAUCCGUAAGGUCUUUGGUCUCCUUCAAACUCCCGGAGGUUCACCCUUGGAGCAAUCGAGACCAAUUAGGCCAUCUGUAUUUGUCCGCACAAAUUCAGUAUGGGCCCGGUGUCUGAUGUCUUUUUGUUAAUUAGUGUUUGUCUCCAUUGUAUUUCUAUUGACGACUGAAUUGACGGGAUGGAAAAUAGGCGUGACUCCUUCCUCUCCAUUAGACUUGACCCUUGUACAUUGGAAAGAUGUUUAAAAAGGUGGCUCAUAACAACAGUGUAAAUGUUAAGAAAAACAAGUGGGUUAGUUUCUGCAGCUUGGAAUGGCCUACUCUGGAUGUGGGCUGACCCCAAGAAGGAAAGUUUAACUUGACUAUUAUUUCUAAAGUUGAAGAUUUGAUCUUUCAGCCUCGAACCGGACACCUGGAUCAGGUACCCUACAUUGUAAACUGGAGGAGUCUCGUCGAACAGGUAGAUGGACCCCUCCCCUGGGUCUGAUCCUUUAUACAAACUUCCCCAAUACCAGUUUCUAAUCCAUCUACUCCCUCACAGGUGCUCCCUGUAAAACCAAAAGAAAAAGAAUAAAAACCGCCCAUUCUCCA
rnacentral:lncRNA from 1 species